GAGCUGGGGGUGGUCGCAGAGACCAGAGAGAAGCGACUGUUUACUAAAAACACAGUCCGUGCGAAGUCGUAAGACGAUGUAUACGGACUGACGCCUGCCCGGUGCUGGAAGGUUAAGAGGACCGGUUAGCGGAGCAAUCCGCGAAGCUGAGAAUUUAAGCCCCAGUAAACGGCGGUGGUAACUAUAACCAUCCUAAGGUAGCGAAAUUCCUUGUCGGGUAAGUUCCGACCUGCACGAAUGGCGUAACGACUUCUCUGCUGUCUCGACCACAGACUCGGCGAAAUUGCAUUACGAGUAAAGAUGCUCGUUACGCGCGGCAGGACGAAAAGACCCCGGGACCUUCACUAUAGCUUGGUAUUGGUGUUCGGUUCGGUUUGUGUAGGAUAGGUGGGAGACUGUGAAGCUCAUACGCCAGUAUGGGUGGAGUCGUUGUUGAAAUACCACUCUGAUCGUAUUGGACCUCUAACCUCGGACCAUGAUCUGGUUCAGGGACAGUGCCUGGUGGGUAGUUUAACUGGGGCGGUUGCCUCCCAAAAUGUAACGGAGGCGCCCAAAGGUUCCCUCAGCCUGGUUGGCAAUCAGGUGUCGAGUGCAAGUGCACAAGGGAGCUUGACUGUGAGACUGACAGGUCGAGCAGGGACGAAAGUCGGGACUAGUGAUCCGGCACCGGCAUGUGGAAGCGGUGUCGCUCAACGGAUAAAAGGUACCCCGGGGAUAACAGGCUGAUCUUCCCCAAGAGUCCAUAUCGACGGGAUGGUUUGGCACCUCGAUGUCGGCUCGUCGCAUCCUGGGGCUGGAGUAGGUCCCAAGGGUUGGGCUGUUCGCCCAUUAAAGCGGCACGCGAGCUGGGUUUAGAACGUCGUGAGACAGUUCGGUCUCUAUCCGCCGCGCGCGUUAGAAACUUGAGGAAGGCUGUCCCUAGUACGAGAGGACCGGGACGGACGAACCUCUGGUGUGCCAGUUGUCCCGCCAGGGGCAUGGCUGGUUGGCUACGUUCGGAAGGGAUAACCGCUGAAAGCAUCUAAGCGGGAAGCCUGUUCCAAGAUGAGGUUUCUCACCCCCUCGAGGGGUAAGGCCCCCGGCAGACCACCGGGUUGAUAGGCCGGAACUGGAAGCCCAGCAAUGGGUGGAGGUGACCGGUACUAAUAGGCCGAGGACUUACCACG
rnacentral:rRNA from 1 species